GACUCUCGGCAACGGAUAUCUCGGCUCACGCAUCGAUGAAGAACGUAGCAAAAUGCGAUACUUGGUGUGAAUUGCAGAAUCCCGUGAAUCAUCGAGUUUUUGAACGCAAGUUGCGCCCAAAGCCUUUUGGCCGAGGGCACGUCUGCCUGGGCGUCACAC
rnacentral:rRNA from 1 species